rnacentral:lncRNA from 15 species
CACCUCCUUACUCACUCAAAUGCCAACAAGGUUCCUAACCCUAACCCUAAAAAAAAGACAAUGUCAAAAUGAUCCAGUUAUGGGUUAUGUUGCUUGUUCUUCAUCAAGGAUAUACGCUGAUUCCAGUGAUCACAGUUCAGCUUGGUCAACCUGUGACCUUCACAUGCCCUUUGCCCAAUAUUCAGAUCAGCCGUAGAAAACUCUACUGGUACAAGCAGAGUGCUGGGGAUGCUAUGAAAUUAAUUGGGACAAUGGAGAAAUCUUCACCACCUGCGUAUGCACCAGAGUUUUCUGAUUCAAGAUUGAAGAUGAGUAAUGAUAACAAAUUUAGCAACCUAACCAUUGUGAGGACAGUCCAAGAAGAUGAGGGAAUGUAUCACUGUCAAAGCUUGGAGUGGGUUUCAAAACCUGACUGGAGCGGGACAUAUUUGUUACUAAAAGGUAAUCAUGUCAUCUAUUUUUAUAUAGUUUUGCAGAACAGUUGCAGAACAGUAUCAUACGUCUGUUUUGAAAAAUUGCAAAACGUCACCCACUGAUUGAAUGACUACCAGCUGUGUUGUCUAAUAAAAAAAUAAUCAUACACUUUUAAAAGUGGAGACCAUGCACUGAAUAUAAAAAUAUCUAGUUAAAACCAUGUGUCUUUCUGUUUUUCCUUUAGUUCACAUUUGAGAUAUGCUCAAAUUCGUCUGUUUUCCAAAUGUGUUUGGAUAUCCCAUCCUUUUAACAGUUUUGUACUACACAGGAAACACUCAUCAAAAGAGGACAUCAAACUAUACUGUUGUUCAGUGGCCAACAGUAUCUGAUCCAGUCGGUCCAGAAGACUCUGUGACUCUCCAGUGUUCAGUCCUCUCUGACUCUGACAAUAAAACAUGUCCAGGAGAUCACAGUGUGUUCUGGUUCAGAGCUGGAUCAGAUCAAUCUCAUCCAAAUAUCAUUUACACUGAUGGAAAUAGACACGAUAAAUGUGACAAGAGAUCUGACUGAGAAAAGCUGUGUUUAUCGCUUCACUAAGAACGUCGCCUCCUCUGAUGCUGGAACUUAUUACUGUGCUGUGGCCACAUGUGGAGAGAUAUUAUUUGGAAAUCGGUAUGUAUCUGUGUUAAAUACUGUUAAUGAUAUUCAUAACAUGUUGAACAUGUAACAUUAUGAUUAAUAAGUCUCUUGUUUGAUUUCUAGUGAAAACAACACAUUCGGCAUUUAUUACAGUGGUGAUAUUAAGCAUCUGCUUGGCCAUUUCU